rnacentral:sRNA from 1 species
AGCGUAAGAUGAGUUGAACGAGGUAAAACAUUUGUUACGGUGUUUUGGAUGGAAGAAAUUGGUGUUUUCUCAUUACAAAUUGUUGGGAAAACAAUUUGAAAUCCCUGUCGAAUUGAGUUUUCAGUAUACACAACAUUACAUUUUGCUGAGUUAGGUUUUCUUCACCUUGGUUUUGAAGAAGUCGUGAAAACUUGGUUAAUUAGUGGUUUAAGUUCGGGAAAGAGUUUCAAGGGUCCUGCUACAGAU